UACGGGGGGGGCAAGCGUUGUUCGGAAUUACUGGGCGUAAAGGGCUCGUAGGCGGCCAACUAAGUCGGAUGUGAAAUCCCCAGGCUCAACUUGGGAACUGCAUCCGAUACUGGAUGGCUUGAAUUCGGGAGAGGGAUGCAGAAUUCCAGGUGUAGCGGUGAAAUGCGUAGAUAUCGAGAGGAACACCUGCGGCGAAGGCGGGUUGCUGGGCUGACACUGACGCUGAAGCGCGAAAGCUAGGGGAGCGAACGGG
rnacentral:rRNA from 1 species